GACGAACGCUGGCGGCGUGCUUAACACAUGCAAGUCGAACGGAAAGGCCCUGCUUGCAGGGUACUCGAGUGGCGAACGGGUGAGUAACACGUGGGUGAUCUGCCCUGCACUUCGGGAUAAGCCUGGGAAACUGGGUCUAAUACCGGAUAGGAGCCAUUUUUAGUGUGAUGGUUGGAAAGUUUUUUUCGGUGUAGGAUGAGCUCGCGGCCUAUCAGCUUGUUGGUGGGGUAAUGGCCUACCAAGGCGGCGACGGGUAGCCGGCCUGAGAGGGUGGACGGCCACAUUGGGACUGAGAUACGGCCCAGACUCCUACGGGAGGCAGCAGUGGGGAAUAUUGCACAAUGGGCGCAAGCCUGAUGCAGCGACGCCGCGUGGGGGAUGACGGCCUUCGGGUUGUAAACUCCUUUCGCUAGGGACGAAGCUUUUUGCGACGGUACCUAGAUAAGAAGCACCGGCUAACUACGUG
rnacentral:rRNA from 1 species